rnacentral:lncRNA from 10 species
GGGUCAUCACUGUGUAGUAUUGGGGAUACUUAGGUGAGAAAAAAACUUAACGCUAGAGACGUUCACGCACUAGUGGAGAAGCCAGGAUUGUUGCCCUAGAGUUACAGUAGAUAAAAGUACCUCAGAGAACUGCGGGGGCUCCCAACCUGGACGCUUGCACCGGAGUAUUAAAUCCAGCUAGAGAAUGGCAUGUGCAAAGAUACAGAGCUACAGUCAAAUGGGCAGCUGAAGAUGAUGAUGAUGAUGAUCUUGACACCGAGAAGCAGAAGACCAAUGAAGAUGACCAGACAGCAAAAAAGGAUAAGUUAAAAGAAGGUAAAAGAAGGCCACUCGUACUUGCUGUCUCAGUAUCUAAAG